CAUAGAAUGAAGGCUAUCACCAGGGGCUCACACUUCAGUUAUGAACUUUCCAUACACAGAAUCAUGGUUAAUAAAUUUGUGUUCAUUAUAAAUUUCCCAGUUUGUAUAGUUUGUUAUAGGAUCACAAAAUGGACAGAUGCCCUUCAAGCCGAUGCAAGAUGCAAGGAUGCAAAGAGCAGAGCAAAGACUAACCUGUUUUGAAGACGUUCACCAAAUGCUCUUUCACCCCCAAACUCUGGUUCAAAUCCAGCUCUUAGCUGAGGGAAUAAGAAACAUCUGAAAAGAUUUAGCGGGCUCAUCUCAAGGCCCAGUGGACUACGGUGUAUGCCAACUUGAAAAACACAACGAACAAACAAAUUUGCCACCAAUUAAGGUGUUUACAUGGAAACACUGCAGACUGAGCAGUGUGCAAAGGCCUCUUUCCCAGACCUGAAACCUGGCUCUUUAUUUCUCAACGAAGUUGCACUAAAGAUGGAGGAAAGUCUGGCCUGCACCUGUCCCUCCUCCAGCAGGCUCCCUUGGCAAACCGGAAGUUUAAUUUAAAAACAAAUCAAGGAAAGAAAACUAUUGAUUCUUUUUCGGAUUGCCUGCUUGUUAUGGAUAAAUUCACACUCCAUGAAUUUGAAAGUGCAGGAAGGGCGGUCCUCCCCAGGAGGGUCACAUGAUCAUCUCACCAGAUGCAGAAAGCACAGUUAGCAGCAAAAUUCAACAGCUCUCCAUGAUAAAAAGCCCUGUGGAAACUGGGUGCAGAAGACUAAUACCCUAGCACAGCGAGGCUGUCUACAGCAGACCUGUGACUGACCUCACAAUGGAUGUUAGAAGCUGAAGUGCUGAGCUUCACCUGUGAUGACUUCAGAGAGAGAAACUCACCAAAGAACUUCUUGUGAGAUUCUUGUGGCUUCCUGCUGAUUCCUCAGACUUGGCCACCAGGAUUGAACUGCCCUUGCUGAUUCGUGUGUGGUGUCUGCUGAGUGGGCUGGACUGCAGUUGCUGAUUCAUGUUUGGUGU